UUCUUACCCAAAGUUUUGGCCAAUAAAAAGAUUCUGACCAAGUAUUGCAGUUGGUUUGAAAUUUGGCUUGUAUAUUUUUAAGUUGAGUAUCUAUAGAUACUUGAGUACCAUCAAAUUGGGUAGAUUUGACAGGAGUAACUUUAACAGUUUUUUGUUUAAUUGUUUCUGGUAGGAUUCCAGAAUCAAUCGUUGAAGAUGUGGCUCCAGUAUCAACCAGUAUUGGAACAAGUAAAUCUAUACCAUGUAUUGAAAGUUUGGAUGGAAUAAUUACUUGGGUUAUCCUUGUAUUAUUACAUACCAAAGGUUGUCUUCUGGGAGUUGGAUCAUCAGGGUGUCUCCCAUAUUGUUGUGGAGUGUAGAUAUUUUUACAAAAACCUACAUUCUUUUGUUUCAAGUCUCUUUGGAUUUGUAUAUAAGUACAUCUAGUUUUAAGUUCACUAAUAACAUGUUGAAUUCUAGUUC